rnacentral:lncRNA from 1 species
AUGAGAAUUUCACACUUAGCUAUGUCUCUAGAAUUUGCGCAUGUUCUCUUUAAUUGAUUUAUUGUUGUGAUGCACACACGAGGCAAGUUGUUUGGUACCUUGAGUCUGUUCUAGCCACCUUUAUCAUUGCUUAUCCUUUGUUUAACCCCUUUUGAGCUUAAAGAAAAAUGUUUUGUUUGUUAUCUGACCCAAGUUAUCAAAAUAAUA